rnacentral:rRNA from 1 species
GCUUUACUGUAGCCUGAUAUUGAAAUUCGGCACAGCUUGUACAGGAUAGGUAGGAGCCUUUGAAACGUGAGCGCUAGCUUACGUGGAGGCGCUGGUGGGAUACUACCCUAGCUGUGUUGGCUUUCUAACCCGCACCACUUAUCGUGGUGGGAGACAGUGUCAGGCGGGCAGUUUGACUGGGGCGGUCGCCUCCUAAAAGGUAACGGAGGCGCUCAAAGGUUCCCUCAGAAUGGUUGGAAAUCAUUCAUAGGGUGUAAAGGCAUAAGGGAGCUUGACUGCGAGACCUACAAGUCGAGCAGGGUCGAAAGACGGACUUAGUGAUCCGGUGGUUCCGCAUGGAAGGGCCAUCG